ensembl:lncRNA
AAACAGUGCUGCUGUGAAUAUCGGGGUGCACGUGUCUUUCGGAAUUAUGGUUUUCUUUGCGUAUAUGCCCAGGAGUGGGAUUGCCAGAUCACGUAAAGAAACAAAAUUGUGCCAUUUGAAGAGACAUGGAGGGACCUAGAGACUGCCACACAGAGUGAAGUAAGUCAGAAAGAGAAAAACAAAUAUCGUAAUACACUUACGUGCCAUCUAGAAAAAUGGUACAGAUGAACCUAUCUGCAAAACUGAAAUAGAGACACGGAUGUAGAGAACAAAUAUAUGGACACCAAGGGGGAAAGGGGAUGGGAUGAACUGGGACCCUGGGAUUGAUAUAUGUUCACGAUGGAUACCAUGUAUAAAAUAGAGAACUAAUAGAACCUACCGUUCAACUCAAGGAAUUCGAUCUACUCAGUGUGGUGACCCAAAUGGGAAGGAAAUCCAAAAGGGAGAGGAUAUACGUUCACAUAUGACUGAUUCACUUUGCUGAACAGCGGAAACGAACCCAACAUUGUAAAGCAACGACGCUCCAGGAAAACAGAAGCCUUUCCCUGGAAGCCACCGUGAAGUUCAGGGAAGCAAGAGCCUCCUGCUCUCCAUAAUGGGCGCCCUGCAUCAAAUGCUACACUUACCUUCAUCACAUCCAGUGCCCAGUGGGUUGGCUUUGCUGUGAGUUGGAUGAAAAAGGGAGACAAACCCAUGAAGGGAUAUGUGAUGAGCGUUGUCUCAGGGACUGGAUUUGAGGACAUCUCUGGAGUUGUUCACUCUGUGUUGCCUUCAUUAUCUGAUCUUUGUACAUGUCAGAACUAUGGAGCCAGCCAGGAGGAAAAGACAGUGGGGGAACAGUGUGCUCGAGUUUUGUAUUUUGAUAGUUAGAAAAUUAAAUAGUCAUAUUGCUCCCCAUAUAAGACAAGAGAUUUGGAUCCUUUUUCCUUUUUAAUUCUUUUUCUCACAUAUGCUAAAAAUGCUCUGAGGAAAGCCAUGAAAUGUAACAUGAGUAUUAAUGCCUUUGGCCACAGCAGUUUUUGCUCCUACUUAUAAUUAAAUGGAGGAAAGUAUCUUUUUACUGAUUUAUGAAGUAACAUUAAUAAAGACACACGUAUCACCACCUACGGAUCAAAGCAAAACACGCAUGAGGGCCGUGAAAGCUUAAACAUUUCCUCCCCAAUAUUGUUGGAAGAUCCCUUUGGUUUUUCACUGGAUGAAGGAGCAGUUCCCUUGACAACCAGCUUUCUGAACAGACUGCCUAUACCUCAGUGUUCUACAGCUUGCUGUAAAAGUCAAAGUGCGAUAUUCUUACAAGAUGCACAUAAAUUUACUAAGGAGUGACUUUAUGAUUUUUAGAUGAUGUCUACUAGACACGGCAGAGAAGAUGUUAGCUAACUAAGAAAACGGAGGUCCUAAAUCCUUAGCCUUCAGGACUAAGA